rnacentral:rRNA from 1 species
GACGAACGCUGGCGGCGUGCUUAACACAUGCAAGUCGAACGGAAAGGCCCUGCUUUUGUGGGGUGCUCGAGUGGCGAACGGGUGAGUAACACGUGAGUAACCUGCCCUUGACUUUGGGAUGACUUCAGGAAACUGGGGCUAAUACCGGAUAGGAGCUCCUGCUGCAUGGUGGGGGUUGGAAAGUUUCGGCGGUUGGGGAUGGACUCGCGGCUUAUCAGCUUGUUGGUGGGGUAGUGGCUUACCAAGGCUUUGACGGGUAGCCGGCCUGAGAGGGUGACCGGCCACAUUGGGACUGAGAUACGGCCCAGACUCCUACGGGAGGCAGCAGUGGGGAAUAUUGCACAACGGGCGGAAGCCUGAUGCAGCAACGCCGCGUGCGGGAUGACGGCCUUCGGGUUGUAAACCGCUUUCGCCUGUGACGAAGCGUGAGUGACGGUAAUGGGUAAAGAAGCACCGGCUAACUACGUG